rnacentral:lncRNA from 1 species
ACUCAAGAUGCUUAGCUUCUCCUUUUUCCUCUUUUCUCCUCCAGGGAUGGGAAUCAGAUGGGCAUAGGGCAUCUGGUCCAUGAUCAUCCUUUGUUUGUGCUGGUCUCCGAUGAAAUAUCUGAAGAAGCCCCAGUGAGAAUAUGCUGCUUCUCUCAUGUCCAAGAUGUCCAUCUUGCCUACACUCCUGGAUUCUCUGGAAGAAGAAAUCAGAUCUGCCCCCUUGAAAUAGGGGUUGUACAACAUUGACUGUUUCAGAAGACAGCUACCUCUUUGUGCUUCUGCUGCCAAUGCUGCUUCCAGUUGAGAGUUCCUUCAAGAACAGAAUGCUCAGUGGUGCCACUUAUACCUUGUUGUCUCUACAUGUCCAGAAGUCAUUUGCCUCAAACAUCUGGGCUACUCCUGCCCUCUCCACAUGUCUAGUCUUUUCCGUCCCAUAGAGGAAGAAGUUUCUCUCUCCUCUAUUCCAAAAUCCCACUGCACUUUCUAACCUGGAUUAACUACUUCUCCAGUAUGACUGGCAAAGCAAAUGUUAAUUUCCUUUAGGGGGAUGCUCUGUCAACAAAAAAUAUUGUAUAAUUUUAGCCUGAUGAACCUAGCAAGACAAUAAAAAAAUUACUUUGUCUUGUGCUGAAAUGAUCUUUGAUCCCUUUUUCACAUUAGAAACUGAAUACAUUUAUGCAAUUGUCUUAACAAUUAUGUGAUAAACUAUUUUAAAAAUAUGUUCUGGUACACCAAUUGACCACAUUAGUGACAUCUUUGUUAUGCAGAUUGUCUUAUAAUUUCAACACACUUUUGUCAUUGUAUUCAAAUUUUAUUCCAUGGUAAAUAUUUAUAUGAUUCCAACUUAUUCUCAAAGGACAUGACAGAAAAUAAAAGAGCAUAUGGAGUCUCAUGUUCCUCACACUGUAUCUGAAUAAAAUAAACAAAAAGUCAGAAAGCAAUUCAAAGUGAAGACAAUAAUUGCACUUUAUAGCAC